CUGGUGCAGAAGGUUAGAGGAAGAAGAAGAAAGAGAGUGUAGAGAGACUCGAAAUCGAAAUCGGGAAUCAGAAGAAAACAAAAAAAUGAGCGGAGUAUCAUCGGCGGCGUAUUUCGCGCGGCGAGCGGCGCAGAAGGAGAGGGUUCGAAUCCUCUAUCGACGCGCUCUCAAGGAUACUCUCAAUUGGGCUGUCCAUCGCCACAUCUUCUACCGAGACGCUUCUGAUCUGCGCGAGAAGUUCAAUGCUAAUCAAGACGUGGAGGAUGUUGACAGAAUCGACAAACUGAUUGCUCAUGGUGAAUCAGAGUACGACAAGUGGCGCCACCCUGAUCCUUAUAUCGUUCCAUGGGCACCUGGUGGCUCAAAGUUCUGUAGAAACCCCACUCCGCCUGCUGGGAUCGAGAUUGUGUACAACUACGGUCAAGAAGACAACCCUUAAUCCUCACUUUCCAUAUUUUUUCAUACCCAUCAAUAAAGUAAGUUAUGUUGCAUGGUUAAAUAGUUUCGUUUCAGUCUCAUUGAAGCAUCCCGGGGUGGCUUAUGUUUCAGAAGAUUUAUUGAAGACUUUCAAGGUUGACCAAUUGUAGUUUUCAAAGGUGUUUCGUUCCAGUAACACACUCUUGUUUUCAAACUUUGUUUUUACUUUGGCUUUUUUUUUCAUAACGAAAUGAGGCCGGUUUAAACUGAACAGAACUUUGGCUACCAUGGCUGGCUCACACAUUGUUUGUUUGUUUUGUC